AGAACGAACGCUGGCGGCAUGCCUAAUACAUGCAAGUCGAACGAACUCUUCGGAGUUAGUGGCGCACGGGUGCGUAACGCGUGGGAAUCUGCCCCUUGGUUCGGAAUAACAGUUGGAAACGACUGCUAAUACCGGAUGAUGACGAAAGUCCAAAGAUUUAUCGCCAAGGGAUGAGCCCGCGUAGGAUUAGCUAGUUGGUGAGGUAAAGGCUCACCAAGGCAACGAUCCUUAGCUGGUCUGAGAGGAUGAUCAGCCACACUGGGACUGAGACACGGCCCAGACUCCGUACGGGAGCAGCGAGUAGGGGAAUACGUUGGAACAAGUGGGACGAAAGCCUGGAUACCAGCUAAGCGACCGCGGU
rnacentral:rRNA from 1 species